CAAUAGCGUAUAUUAAAGUUGUUGCAGUUAAAAAGCUCGUAGUUGGAUUCGUGGCGUACGGUGUGUUCCGGGCACUUGUUGCCUGAGUAACCUGCUGUUGCCAUCCUUGGGUGGAACCUGUGUGGCAUUAGGUUGUCGUGCAGGGGAUGCCCAUCAUUUACUGUGAAAAAAUUAGAGUGUUCAAAGCAGGCUUAUGCCGUUGAAUAUAUUAGCAUGGAAUAAUGAGAUAGGACUUUUUUGCUAUUUUGUUGGUUUGCGCAAAGAGGUAAUGAUUAAUAGGGACAGUUGGGGGUAUUCGUAUUCCAUUGUCAGAGGUGAAAUUCUUGGAUUUUUGGAAGACGAACUACUGCGAAAGCAUUUACCAAGGAUGUUUUCAUUAA
rnacentral:rRNA from 1 species